UGGAUCACACUUGGGUCCACUGACCCAGAGAGGACACUCUAACUCAAAGAUCAUCAACCCCAACCUCUGGACGGCUCUCGGAGCAAUAAAAGAAUGAGAUGCACCAGGGUCCAUCAAGGCAUACACAUCUGAACAACCAAUGAUUAAGUUACCUGCCACCACGGUGUUAGAUGCAUCUGCCUCCUGUUGAGUCAUCGUGAAGAUCCGUGCUGGAGCUGAUGGACCUUCACCCCUGAAACCCGCUGAAGAAGAGGCUGCCCCUCUCCCUCUGCCUCUGCC
rnacentral:lncRNA from 1 species